AAAGGAAGAGGCGAUGAGGAUAGCCAAGGAGAUUGCCUGCUCCAUAUAUGCAUGCUCAAUUCAACUAACCAUUCAUAUGCAUUGAAUUGAAUACAAUGGUGCAGGCAAGUCAUCCUUGGCUACCAAAACGACACUUCAUCCCC
rfam:Ipomoea nil DNA, scaffold: scaffold3169, cultivar: Tokyo-kokei standard.